CAAUCGAACCCGGAGAUAGCUGGUUCUCCCCGAAAUAGCUUUAGGGCUAGCGUCGCAGCGAGAGAGCCGUGAAGGUAGAGCACUGAAUAUGCGAUGGCCGCAUCCCGCGGUACUGAGCAUAAUCAAACUCCGAAUGUCACGGUGUCAUCUGCGGCAGUCAGACGGCGAGUGAUAAGGUCCGUCGUCAAGAGGGAAACAGCCCAGACCAUCAGCUAAGGUCCCAAAGUGCAUGCUAAGUGGAAAAGGAAGUGGAGACGUGCAGACAACUAGGAGGUUGGCUCAGAAGCAGCCAUCCUUCAAAGAGUGCGUAACAGCUCACUAGUCGAAUGACUCUGCGCCGAUAAUUUACCGGGGCUAAGCAUGACACCGAAGCUAUGGACAGGAAUGUGGUAGGGGAGCAUUGCAUGCAGCGGAGAAGCAUGACCGAGAGGGCAUGUGGAGCGCAUGGAAGAGAGAAUGCCGGCGUGAGUAGCGGCACGUGGGUGAGAAUCCCACGCACCGAUGGCCCAAGGUCUCCAGAGGAAGGCUCGUCCUCUCUGGGAUAGUCGGGACCUAAGGCGAGGCCGAAAGGCGUAGCCGAUGGACGACGGGUGGAUAUUCCCGUACCCGAUGUGUGGCGAUGGAGUGACGGAGAAGGCUCAGGCAACCAGCUGCUGGAAUAGCUGGGGCAAGCGAGAUACCUGCGCACCAGGGAAAUCCGGUGCGCAUAAGGGGAAGGCGCGAUGCAUACGGAAAGCUUCGGCAAGUACGGAAAAGCUGAGAGCAGGCUUCCAGGAAAAGCUUCUAGCACAACACACAUCGGCCCGUACCGAAAAUGGACACACAUGGGCAAGGAGAGAAUCCUGAGGUGAGCGAGAGAACUAUAGCUAAGGAACUCUGCAAAAUGACCCCGUAACCUAGGGAGAAGGGGUGCUCCAGAAAUGGAGCCGCAGUAAAACGGCCCAAGCGACUGUUUACCAAAAACACAGCUCUCUGCGAAGGCGCAAGCCGAAGUAUAGGGGGUGACGCCUGCCCGGUGCUGGAAGGUCAAGGGGAGCUGUCAGCGCAAGCGAAGCAGCGAGCCGAAGCCCCAGUAAACGGCGGCCGUAACUAUAACGGUCCUAAGGUAGCGAAAUUCCUUGUCGGGCAAGUUCCGACGCGCAUGAAUGGUAUAACAAUCCCUGCACUGUCUCGGCAGCAGACUCGGCGAAAUCGUAAUACCGGUGAAGAUGCCGGUUACCCGCGACUAGACGGAAAGACCCCAUAGAGCUUCACUGCAGGUCGGCGCUGGGCUGGCCAGCGGCUCGCACAGGAUAGGAGGAAGGCUUCGAUCCGGGACCCCUGGGCCCCGGGGAGCCGUCGUUGGGAUACCUCCCCUGCCGCUAGCCAUCCCUAACCGGGACCCUGGACGGGCCCCGGGACAGCGCCCGCCGGACAGUUUGACUGGGGCGGUCGCCUCCCAAAGAGUAACGGAGGCGUUCGAAGGUGCCCUCGGCACGGUAGGAAACCGUGCCAUAGAGUGCAAACGCAUAAGGGCGCCUGACUGCAAGGCCGGCAGGCCGAGCAGACGCGAAAGCGGGAGUUAGUGACCCGGCGGUUCCAGCGUGGAAUGGCCGUCGCUUAACGGACAAAAGCUACCUUGGGGAUAACAGGCUGAUCCGGUCCAAGAGUUCACUUCGACGACCGGGUUUGGCACCUCGAUGUCGGCUCAUCGCAUCCUGGAGGGGCAACACCUUCCAAGGGUUUGGCUGUUCGCCAAUCAAAGCGGUACGCGAGCUGGGUUCAAAACGUCGUGAGACAGUUUGGUCCCUAUCUGUCGUGGGCGUGGGAGGACCUAGGGGAUCCCCCCCCAGUACGCAAGGACCGGGGGGGACGAGGCUACGGUGCACCGGUUGGGACGCCAGUCCCACGGCCGGGCAGCCGCCCUCGGGACGGAUAAGCGCUGAGAGCAUCUAAGCGCGAAGCCGGCCCCGGGGUCAGUCCUCCGUUGGACAUGUUCCAUGAAGGGCCCGGGAAAGUACACCCGGUGGAUGGACGCCAGGCGCAGGCACCGCGAGGUGCACAGCCGUGGCGCUCCAAUGGCCCGAGACGCUUGUCGU
rnacentral:rRNA from 1 species